rnacentral:rRNA from 1 species
UGGGGAAUUUUGGACAAUGGGGGGAAACCCUGAUCCAGCCAUCCCGCGUGUGCGAUGAAGGCCUUCGGGUUGUAAAGCACUUUUGGCAGGAAAGAAACGUCGCGGGUUAAUACCCCGCGAAACUGACGGUACCUGCAGAAUAAGCACCGGCUAACUACGUGCCAGCAGCCGCGGUAAUACGUAGGGUGCAAGCGUUAAUCGGAAUUACUGGGCGUAAAGCGUGCGCAGGCGGUUCGGAAAGAAAGAUGUGAAAUCCCAGAGCUUAACUUUGGAACUGCAUUUUUAACUACCGGGCUAGAGUGUGUCAGAGGGAGGUGGAAUUCCGCGUGUAGCAGUGAAAUGCGUAGAUAUGCGGAGGAACACCGAUGGCGAAGGCAGCCUCCUGGGAUAACACUGACGCUCAUGCACGAAAGCGUGGGGAGCAAACAGGAUUAGAUACCCUGGUAGUCCACGCCCUAAACGAUGUCAACUAGCUGUUGGGGCCUUCGGGCCUUGGUAGCGCAGCUAACGCGUGAAGUUGACCGCCUGGGGAGUACGGUCGCAAGAUUAAAACUUAAAGGAAUUG